rnacentral:rRNA from 1 species
UCGGGCGCCGUCGGGGGGCAGAUGUCUGAUUAGCUAGUUGGUGAGGUAAAGGCUUACCAAGGCUACGAUCAGUAGCUGGUCUGAGAGGACGACCAGCCACACUGGGACUGAGACACGGCCCAGACUCCUACGGGAGGCAGCAGUGGGGAAUUUUGGACAAUGGGGGAAACCCUGAUCCAGCCAUGCCGCGUGAGUGAAGAAGGCCUUCGGGUUGUAAAGCUCUUUCAGCCGGAACGAAAAGGUUACGGCUAAUACCCGUGACUACUGACGGUACCGGCAAGAAGAAGCACCGGCUAACUACGUGCCAGCAGCCGCGGUAAUACGUAGGGUGCGAGCGUUAAUCGGAAUUACUGGGCGUAAAGCGUGCGCAGGCGGUUUUGUAAGUCAGAUGUGAAAUCCCCGGGCUCAACCUGGGAACUGCGUUUGAACUC